AUGGCGAGGGUGCUGGUGGUGGGCGCGGGGCUGACCGGCGGCGCCUGCGCGGCGCUGCUGCGGGGGGCGGUGCGGGGUCGCGUCGUCGUGUGGGACAAGGCGCGCGGCGCAGGGGGCCGCAUGAGCACGAGCCGCAGCGCGGGGGACGCCGCCUGCAGCGCCGACCUGGGAGCGCAGUACGUCAGCCCGCGGGCGGGGCGCGCCGGGCCGCGCGGCAGCUUCUACGAUGAACUUCUGUCUCAUGGCAUCUUGAAACCACUGACUGCACCCAUUGAAGGAAUGGUAGAGAAGGAAGGCUCUUGCAAUUACAUGGCACCUCAGGGCAUCUCCUCAGUUGUCAAGUAUUAUUUAAAACAGUCAGGUGCAGACGUCUUCUAUGGAUACCACGUAACUCACAUCUCUCUUCGAGAUGGGAAAUGGGAAGUCUCCAGGAAAAUGGGACCACCAGAACUGUUUGAUAUAGUUAUUCUCACAAUGCCUGUUCCACAAGUUCUUCAGCUACAAGGUGACAUUGUAAACAUAAUUAAUCAAAGGCAAAAGCAGCAACUGGAAGCUACAAGCUACUCCUCCCGCUACGCUCUGGGACUUUUUUAUGAAGCUGGUGUGUGUAUUGAUGUCCCCUGGGCUGCAAAGUACAUCACCGAUAAUCCCUGCAUACGCUUCAUCUCCAUCGAUAAUAAGAAACGCAAUAUAGAGUCUCCUGAAAUUGGACCUUCAGUUGUAGUUCAUACAACUGUGACAUUUGGGAGUGAGCACCUGGAUUCAGACCCUGCAGAGGUACAGCAGUUAAUUCUCAGCCACCUGGAAAGCGUUGUGCCAUCCCUGCCCAAACCAGCUAGUGUCAAGUGUCAGAAAUGGAGAUACUCACAGCUUGAUGCUGCUGCUGGAAAUGAUGUGCCACUGAAACGAUGGUACCUGUGUUGGCUGUGGUCCAAGCAACAUCAGCCCAGCAGUGCUGGAAGAAGAAAGGAUGGAGAAAAGGUGAAAUAGACACUGUCCAUGUUUCUAAUGCUCUCAUAGAAAUAGGGCUGCUGUACCAAAGGCAUCUUGGGACUUACCUUGACAUCUGGACCGUAACACGAGUUUAACACAGUAAAGCAUGCCAGCCAAGAAAAGAGAUGCACUUUAAAUAGUUCAGUAUUUGCCAGGUUGGAGAGUCACUAGUGUAUUACGGCUCUCUGCUGCCUUGCAUGAGGAGCAGCUUUUUCCUCCCUCCAGAACCCAAAUUUAAAACUACAUUUUAUUAUUGUGUAGGCAUCAAUCAGCUCCAAACCCUUAGGUUUCCAUCACUGCGUGUUGCUCAGAAACAGGAAAGAGUGGUGAGCAUUUAUGUGCACAAAUUUUUUACAAGAACACAUGAACUCCUGUCUUGCAAGGAUGAAGGUAGCCAAGAAGAGCCACAUGGUCAUGGAAUAAAUCUAAUCUGGUGAGGAAUUUAGUAUUGGCUUGAUCUAGUGAGAGCUCAGAAGCAACCAAAGUCCAAGCUGAAGCAGUUUGAUUUUGCAGUGCUGGAAAACCUUAAUUAAUGAACCAUAGCUCACUAAGGAUGGCAUACAAAACCAACCAAGCCACAUUUUUGCAGAUUUGCUCCUCAGCUUCCAUCCAGGCCUAGGCAUCCUCCAGGAAUUGGUUGCCAAAGGAAAAACAUUUAUUCUGUGGUACUGGAACAUACAAGAGGGUUUACCACUGGGUACACAGUUCCUCUGGAAGGUGCCACCAUGACAGUGGGGCCAGCUGUUGCUGGUGGUGAUGAUGGUGAUGGUUUGUGGGGACCCAUCCCGCCAAUAUCCUUUCAUCCAAGCCUUAAUACACAGAGAUUUUGCAUUAAACCACACUAAACUUGCACUUCCUUCCCCUCCUUCAAUUUUGAAUGGAAUUGAGCCAAACUACUGAAAAUCCAAAUAAAGAUCAAUCCUGAAAAGUGUG